CACGUAGGGUGCGAGCGUUGUCCGGAAUUAUUGGGCGUAAAGAGCUCGUAGGCGGUCUGUCGCGUCGGUCGUGAAAACUUGGGGCUUAACCCUGAGCUUGCGGUCGAUACGGGCAUGACUGGAGUUCGGCAGGGGAGACUAGAAUUCCUGGUGUAGCGGUGAAAUGCGCAGAUAUCAGGAGGAACACCGGUGGCGAAGGCGGGUCUCUGGGCCGAUACUGACGCUGAGGAGCGAAAGCGUGGGGAGCGAACAGG
rnacentral:rRNA from 1 species